rnacentral:rRNA from 1 species
UACAGAGGUCUCAAGCGUUGUUCGGAUUCAUUGGGCGUAAAGGGUGCGUAGGCGGCGCGGUAAGUCGGAUGUGAAAUCUCGGGGCUUAACUCCGAAACUGCAUUCGAUACUGCGGUGCUUGAGGACUGGAGAGGAGACUGGAAAUUCACGGUGUAGCAGUGAAAAUGCGUAGAUAUCGUGAGGAAGACCAGUGGCGAAGGCGGGUCUCUGGACAGUUCCUGACACUGAGGCACGAAGGCCAGGGGAGCAAAACGGG